rnacentral:rRNA from 1 species
CCCUUAGAUGUUCUGGGCCGCACGCGCGCUACACUGAUGCAUUCAACGAGUCCAACCUUGACCGAGAGGUCCGGGUAAUCUUUGAAACUGCAUCGUGAUGGGGCUAGAUUAUUGCAAUUAUUAAUCUUCAACGAGGAAUGCCUAGUAAGCGUGAUUCAUCAAAUCGCGUUGAUUACGUCCCUGCCCUUUGUACACACCGCCCGUCGCUCCUACCGAUUGAGUGUGUUGGUGAGGAGUUUGGAUUGGCCUCGGAAGGUGGCUCGCCACCGUCCGUAGCUGAGAAGUUCUCCAAACCGCCCCACUUAGAGGAAGGAGAAGUCGUAACA